AGCGAACGCUGGCGGCAGGCUUAACACAUGCAAGUCGAACGCAUCCUUCGGGGUGAGUGGCAGACGGGUGAGUAACACGUGGGAACAUACCUUUUGGUUCGGAAUAACUCAUGGAAACGUGAGCUAAUACCGGAUACGCCCUUUUGGGGAAAGAUUUAUUGCCGAAAGAUUGGCCCGCGUCUGAUUAGCUAGUUGGGGAGGUAAUGGCUCACCAAGGCGACGAUCAGUAGCUGUUCUGAGAGGAUGAUCAGCCACACUGGAACUGGAAUACGGGCCAGACACCUACGGGAGGCAGCAGUUAGGAAUUUUGCGCAAUGGGAGAAAUCCUGACGCAGCAACGCCGCGUGGGUGAUGAAGGCCUUCGGGUUGUAAAACCCUUUUAGCGGGAACGAAAAAAAUGACGGUACCCGCAGAAAAAGCACCGGCUAACUCUGUGCCAGCCGCCGCAGUAA
rnacentral:rRNA from 1 species